CAGCGCCACAAGUGGCAAUCGUUAUUAUUGGGCCUAAAGCGUCCGUAGCCGGUUUAGUAAGUCUUUUGUGAAAUUGUUGUGCUUAACACAACACUGUGCAAAAGAUACUGCUAGACUUGGAACUGGGAGGAGUUAGGGGUAUUCCAAGGGGAGCGGUAAAAUGCUAUAAUCCUUGGAGGACCACCGGUGGCGAAAGCGCCUAACUAGAACAGAUUCGACGGGAGGGACGAAAGCCAGGGGAGCAAACCGGAUUAGAGACCCGAGUAGUCC
rnacentral:rRNA from 1 species